GGGACGGGGAGGCCUCACCUUGUCUCCCGGGAGGCAAGCGCCGCCGCCGUCCCGCAGUUGCUAAGGAGAAUGCUCUUCCGGGUCAUGGGCGCAGAGUUAUGGAGGCAACGGUGGCCGGGAGGGGCCAAAAGCGAGGCGCGGGAAUGCCAAAAUCAGACCAAGAGGAUUUGACCUAGGAGGACUUGAAGAAGGAACGGAACAGCACCCAGGGCAUCUUGCUGAUUAGAAUAUUUUGGAAAAAAAUGAAAACUGAAGAUAAGCUGGAUGCUCACCUCUCCCAACUGCGACCCACAGAAUACUGCACUAGAGAAAGUGAAAAGUUACACAUCCUCCUGUGACGUGGACUGACUGCCAUGAGUUAGUAUGGACUUAGUAAAUGGUGAGAGCUGCUACCUAAGUACUGCCAGGAAGAGAUGGCUAAACGUCAGUAAUUUUAAAACAUCAUGCUUUCUGGACAAAGUUUUCUCA